rnacentral:rRNA from 1 species
CCUACGGGUGGCAGCAGUGGGGAAUAUUGGGCAAUGGGCGAAAGCCUGACCCAGCAACGCCGCGUGAAGGAAGAAGGCUUUCGGGUUGUAAACUUCUUUUGUCAGGGAAGAGUAGAAGACGGUACCUGACGCAUAAGCCACGGCUAACUACGUGCCAGCAGCCGCGGUAAUACGUAGGUGGCAAGCGUUGUCCGGAAUUACUGGGUGUAAAGGGCGUGUAGCCGGGUUGACAAGUCAGAUGUGAAAUCCUGCGGCUUAACCCCAGAACUGCAUUUGAAACUGGUGAACUUGAGUAAUGGAGAGGCAGAUGGAAGUCCGAGUGUAGCGGUGAAAUGCGUAGAUAUUAGGAGGAACACCAGUGGCGAAGGCGGUCUGCUGGACAGCAACUGACGGUGAGGCACGAAAGCGUGGGGAGCAAACAGGAUUAGAUACCCCUGUAGUC